AUUGAACGCUGGCGGCAGGCCUAACACAUGCAAGUCGAACGAGUGGCGGACGGGUGAGUAAUGUAUGGGAACCUGCCUGCUGGAGGGGGAUAACUACUGGAAACGGUAGCUAAUACCGCAUACCAUCGGAUGUGCCCAGAUGGGAUUAGCUAGUAGGUGGGGUAAAGGAUCACCUAGGCGACGAUCCCUAGCUGGUCUGAGAGGAUGACCAGCUACACUGGAACUGAGACACGGUCCAGACUCCUACGGGAGGCAGCAGUGGGGAAGAUUGGACAAUGGGCGCAAUCCUGAUGCAGCCAUGCCGCGUGUAUGAAGAAGGCCUUCGGGUUGUAAAGUACUUUCAGCAGGGAGGCGGUACCCGCAGAAGAAGCACCGGCUAACUCCGUGCCAGCCGCCGCGGUAAUAC
rnacentral:rRNA from 1 species